CUCUGCAGGGAAGGAGACCAACUGUUAAAGGGUGGCUGGUCAAUGCCAGUGUGUGCUACGAAGUGCCCGUGGGGCUGGCCUUGCCCCCUUAUCUGACAGCACAGUUAAAAAAUAGGACUUGGAACUUGAAGCAACACAGCCUGCAGAGUGCUAUACAAUGACCCUGGACACAAGGCACCUGUAAAGAUGACAAUUCCAAUGGACAGCAUCGAGCAGGGAAUCAAACACCCAAGGCAUCAUCUAGCUUUAACUCUGCACCCUAUUUAUACCAUCUCUACCACAUUAUCCUCAAGUAGAACCAUGGCUUCAACUGCAGUGAGAA